UAGGGAAUCUUCCGCAAUGGACGCAAGUCUGACGGAGCAACGCCGCGUGAGUGAAGAAGGUUUUCGGAUCGUAAAGCUCUGUUGCCAGGGAAGAAUGCUUGGGAGAGUAACUGCUCCUGAGGUGACGGUACCUGAGAAGAAAGCCCCGGCUAACUACGUGCCAGCAGCCGCGGUAAUACGUAGGGGGCAAGCGUUGUCCGGAAUUAUUGGGCGUAAAGCGCGCGCAGGCGGUGAUGUAAGUUGGGUGUUUAAACCUAGGGCUCAACCUUGGGACGCAUCCAAAACUGCAUGACUUGAGUACAGAAGAGGGAAGUGGAAUUCCACGUGUAGCGGUGAAAUGCGUAGAUAUGUGGAGGAACACCAGUGGCGAAGGCGACUUUCUGGGCUGUAACUGACGCUGAGGCGCGAAAGCGUGGGGAGCAAACAG
rnacentral:rRNA from 1 species